rnacentral:lncRNA from 1 species
UCGCCCAAAGAAGGUACACGGGUACAGGAAGUACUUCGGCAAUGAUGAAUUCACUCGAAAGGUAGGCUUCCACGAAACUCCCUUUUAUCUUCUAUUAAAACAAGAAAACUCAAAAAUAGAUCGUGUAGUAUUCUCGAGCUUUAUCCCCAGUCAGUCAACAUUAGGGUUUUAAACCCUAAACUGAACUUUUUCCUUUCAGCCAGCGUUAUGGUUUUAAACCCUAAACUGAGCUUUUCCAUGCAAUCAGCAUUAGGGUUUUAAACCCUAAACUGAACUUUCCUUUUAGUUAGCAUUAGGGUUUUAAACCCUAAACUGAACUUUUUCCUUUCAGCCAGCAUUAGGGUUUUAAACCCUAAACUGAGCUUUUCCAUGCAAUCAGCAUUAGGGUUUUAAAUCCUAAAUUGAAUUUUCCUUUUAGUCAGCAUUAGGGUUUUAAACCCUAAACUGAAUUUUCCUUUCAGCCAGCAUUAGGGUUUUACACCCUAAACUGAGCUUUUUCAUGCAAUCAGCAUUAGGGGUUUUAAACCCUAAACUGAAUUUUCCUUUUAAUCAGCAUUAGGGGUUUUAAACCCUAAACUGAACUUUUUCCUUUCAGCCAGCAUUAGGGUUUUAAAACCCUAAACUGAGCUUUUCCAUGCAAUCAGCAUUAGGGUUUUAAACCCUAAACUGAAUUUUUCUUUCAGCCAGCAUUAGGGUUUUAAACCCUAAAUUGAGCUUUUCCAUGCAAUCAGCAUUAGGGUUUUAAACCCUAAACUGAAUUUUCCUUUCAGCCAGCAUUAGGGUUUUAAACCCUAAACUGAGCUUUUUCAUGCAAUCAGCAUUAGGGUUUUAAACCCUAAACUGAAUUUUCCUUUUAGUCAGCAUUAGGAUUUUAAACCCUAAACUGAACUUUUUUCCUUUCAGCCAGCAUUAGGGUUUUAAACCCUAAACUGAGCUUUUUCCAUGCAAUCAGCAUUAGGGUUUUAAACCCUAAACUGAAUUUUCCUUUUAGUCAGCAUUAGGGUUUUAAACCCUAAACUGAAUUUUCCUUUCAGCCAGCAUUAGGGUUUUAAACCCUAAACUGAGCUUUUCCAUGCAAUCAGCAUUAGGGUUUUAAACCCUAAACUGAAUUUUCCUUUCGGCCAGCAUUAGGGUUUUAAACCCUAAACUGAGCUUUUCCAUGCAAUCAGCAUUAGGGUUUUAAACCCUAAACUGAAUUUUCCUUUCAGCCAGCAUUAGGGUUUUAAACCCUAAACUGAGCUUUUUCAUGCAAUUAGCAUUAGGGUUUUAAACCCUAAACUGAAUUUUCCUUUUAGUCAGCAUUAGGGUUUUAAACCCUAAACUGAACUUUCCCUUUCAGCCAGCAUUAGGGUUUUAAACCCUAAACUGAAUUUUCCUUUUAGUCAGCAUUAGGAUUUUAAACCCUAAACUGAACUUUUUUCCUUUCAGCCAGCAUUAGGGUUUUAAACCCUAAAUUGAGCUUUUUCCAUGCAAUCAGCAUUAGGGUUUUAAACCCUAAACUGAAUUUUCCUUUUAGUCAGCAUUAGGGUUUUAAACCCUAAACUGAACUUUUUUCCUUUCAGCCAGCAUUAGGGUUUUAAACCCUAAACUGAGCUUUUUCCAUGCAAUCAGCAUUAGGGUUUUAAACCCUAAACUGAAUUUUCCUUUUAGUCAGCAUUAGGGUUUUAAACCCUAAACUGAAUUUUCCUUUCAGCCAGCAUUAGGGUUUUAAACUUUAAACUGAGCUUUUCCAUGCAAUCAGCAUUAGGGUUUUAAACCCUAAAUUGAAUUUUCCUUUUAGUCAGCAUUAGGGUUUUAAACCCUAAACUGAACUUUUCCUUUCAGCCAGCAUUAGGGUUUUAAACCCUAAACUGAAUUUUCCUUUUAAUCAGCAUUAGGGUUUUAAACCCUAAACUGAAUCUUUCUUUUAAUCAGCAUUAGGGUUUUAAACCCUAAACUGAGCUUUUCCUUUUAAUCAGCAUUAGGGUUUUAAACCCUAAACUGAAUCUUUCUUUUAGUCAGCAUUAGGGUUUUAAACCCUAAACUGAACUUUUUCCUUUCAGCCAGCAUUAGGGUUUUAAACCCUAAACUGAGCUUUUCCAUGCGAUCAGCAUUAGGGUUUUAAACCCU